GUUAUUAGCUGAUGUGAUGCAUAUAUGGUUAUGACUUUGUCAGGAAUCUUACCUCAAAAUCGGUGUGGAGACGUUCACACAGUAAAAGAUUCAGGACCUCCAGCGAAAUAUGCAUUUGUUCCGUGGCUUUUAAAGAGCAAUUGUUGUACAUGGAAGCCUCAUCUUGUUAGAAACUGGAAAUCGAUAGUGUUUAUGAACGUUUUUUCCCCCUAACUUGAACACAAUGUGAACACAAUGUAAAGACGAUUAUAUCAAAUCUAAAUUCACACCAACAGGGGAUUUGGGCACAAGCUACUUAAUUAUUAAAUGACGGUGUUUUCAGGGCCAAGCCUGUCACCAUUAUUGUUUUAAGCUAUAGCCAUUUUAAAUGUUAGGCUGCUCACUCAACAUAACUUAUUCGUUUCAACCUUAAAGUUGAGCAGAUUCACAGAAACAUGUUGUAUUACACAUGUCUAUACAAUGCACUGCAUAUUGAAGUACAUAGGCCUGUUUUUUUUUUGUUUUUGUUUGUUUUGCCCAGUUUCAUUGCUAAUGCUGGAAAACUGUUCUAAGUUUAGAGGUUUGUGAGAAAACACUGAUGAAGUAUCAUUCAAAGCCAGUAUAGAAAUAUGCAUCAUUUAUACUUGAGAAUGUUUUAAACUAUUGCACUGAUGGCUGAUUUUAUGAACAGUUGGUAUCACAACCAACUUUGAAAGAUACUAUUUUUCUAAAUGGAAAAAAAAAAUCAUAUUGUAUGGAAGCUCCAUGGUAGGUUAGUCUUCUCUCACUUUUGGCAAAGACAUUGAAAUGUCUGUAGAUGUGGAUUUUAGAACGUUGUAAAGUGUUCAGUAAUUCUUGGAGCACUUCUUCACAGAAGUCCCGUCCUCCUCUUUUUAAGGGGGGCGUUACAUGGUAAAAUCGGUGUAGCGCAAUGUUACACAAUGCACAAGUCUUUACUUGAUAAUGCCAUAACAUUUAUGACAUGAGAGUAAAAAAAUACCAUCCUUGGUUGAGAUAAAUGUCAAAUGACUGUGAUUUUAUUGGACCAACUUUUUGGAAUUCUUCUUUUCUACAAAGAGAAGUUCAUAAAAAGAGACCAAACCACUGAUCUCUUGUUAUGCUUUUGUGAAUUAUGUUGUUGUUUUUAUAUCUGUCUAGAAGGUUUGUUCUUAAUGUUUAAAAUGGUGUGAGUGGUCAUAUUUUGAAAGAUAUUACAUGUUGUAUUUGUAUCUUUGUACAAAAGCCUUUUUAAAUAUUAAAUUCUGCUUUUUUAAAAAAAAAGAGCGUUAUGUUGUUCACUGAGUGGAUUUGUAGCCUAAACUAGCUAAUAGAUAUUUACAUUAUCAUGUUAGCCAUUUAAUGGGUUUAGUUAACUUUGAGUUGUUCAGCUUAGCAUGUUCAGCUUACUAGCUUGAUUGCAAUUUUGGCUCAGCAGUAUACACAGAGCAAUCUACAAUCUGGUAUCAGUCCCUCCAGAGUUUUGCGAGUGCAGAAGUUAAUUCAAAAUCAAGGAAACGCCACGUUAUUUAGAGGAGCUUGAAAUUUUUCCAAAAUCACUGCAGAUUUUGGCGAAGACGUAUCAUGUGACGUCAUUGCAACGAUCACAUUCAGCCAAAGCUCUCUUGGAUUCAUGUGUCGUAAGUAAAAACUAAAAGAUCUCAUUUAGCA
ensembl:lncRNA